rnacentral:tmRNA from 1 species
GGGGACGUUACGGAUUCGACAGGCACAGUCGAGCUUGAAUUGCGUUUCGUAGGUUACGUCUACGUAAAAACGUUACAGUUAAAUAUAACUGCUAAAAACGAAAACAACUCUUACGCUUUAGCUGCCUAAAAACAGUUAGCGUAGAUCCUCUCGGCAUCGCCCAUGUGCUCGAG